GUUGAAAUAUAUGAUAAUUUAAAAUCUCAAGUUUUAAUACAGUUUAUCCAAGUACAUGAAGAUUAUUUGCACCAUAAUUUUGAAAAUAUAAAUGAAGUUGUUCAUUAUUUAACAACAAUUUAUAAUUGGAAUCUAUGUGUCACUUUAAAAAAUUCUCCAAGACUUAUUUCUGAUACAGUUUGUGAAGCCAUUGCUUCAUGUAACAAACAGAGUAUAGGUCGACCAACUUUGAGAUGCAUGAAAUGCAAUAUAAAGAUGGAAUCCCAGAAAUGGCGAAAACCUCCACCAACUACUACAGUAAAAAAAGUUUUAAAAAAAAAGAUUUUGCAACAGAAAGUGAAACGAUUUAAGCAAAAGAUUGAAUCACUUGAAACGCAUGUUGGCGAACUGCGACAAAAGUGUGCAAAUGUUGAAGAACAAAAACUAGAAGAUGCUAUUCAUAAUGUUAAAGAUUCUCAAAAAACACUUAUAAAAGCAUGUCUUCAGGCAGCUAAAAAAGUUGGUGAAGGUAAAAAAGGUA